rnacentral:rRNA from 1 species
UACAGAGGGUGCGAGCGUUGUCCGGAAUCACUGGGCGUAAAGGGCGCGUAGGCGGUCUGCUAAGCGUGCGGUGAAAGCCUGGGGCUCAACCCCAGGUCUGCCGUGCGAACUGGUGGACUAGAGCACUGUAGAGGCAGGUGGAAUUUCGGGUGUAGCGGUGGAAUGCGUAGAGAUCCGAAAGAACACCGGUGGCGAAGGCGGCCUGCUGGGCAGUUGCUGACGCUGAGGCGCGACAGCGUGGGGAGCAAACAGG